AUGCUUACCAUUAAGAGUGCCUUCUUUGCCAUUGCUGCUCUCUCUCUGUCCAGCCAUAUCUCUCCAAUUCUCUUUUCUACUAUGGCGAGAGACCCAGGGCGUAAACCAGCAAGUCCACUGCAGAAAUCAGUGGUAAGCAAACCUUAGUCUUCAUCAGAAUCACCUGGAGUGCUUGUUAGACCAGAUGGCGGGACCCCGCCUCAAGACUUUCUGAUUUAAUAGGCCUGGAGGGGGGCCGAGUAAUUUACAUGUCUAACAAGUUCUCAGGUCAUGAUGAUGAUGAUGAUGAUGAUGAUGAUGAUGCUGGUCCAAGGAGUGCACUUAAAGAAUCACUGGCAUAAGGAAAAAUCUAACAAGGUUGUUUGAAGAUUCUUUGUCCUCAGCUUUGGAUCUUAGUCACCAGUCUGGGAUUCCAGGAAAUGUCCUGCUCCACAACCUAUUAUGAAUAAAUGCAUGGGGGAGGCAGGGCCUUACUGAGAGCUAUCUUGAACGCAGUCUACAAUGAAUUACCCUGAAGAACCAAAUGAUGUCUCUUAGGGAGAGAGUCAAUCACCACAUUUUGAACAAAAAAGUGAUGUUACAAAAAAUUUCUUCAGGAAAGGUGAUCUGACAAUUGUCUACAGACUGAGGAGCUGAAAGGUUUGAGGCAAAGGACCAGUUGAAAGAAUAUCAUGAUAGUUAACAACUCACGAGAGUCCAUAGUGGGAAAAUGAAGAAAUUGGAGAAGGAUAAUGAUCCUGAGGCUGGAAGAUAAAUAAAAAUGUAAAGCAUAAAAUUUUCCUUGAUGGAAAGUAUAUCCUGAUUCCAAAGGAAGAUGGUGAUUUCAGCAGCGGGUUUAACUUCCCACUUCUGUCCACUCAUCACCCUCAUUUUCUGUUUGUAUCUAAAAAAUUUGAUGAAACUUAUUAAUUCACUUAAACAUUUACUAAGCUCUUACUAUAGGCCAAACGUUGUGCUCGGUGAAAGGAGUAUUAAAAUGGGAAAACAUGUCAGAGCCUAAAACUGGCAAUGCACACUUCACAAGCAAUUUCUGCUAAGGGGCUUGCAGAUAUCCCUUGACUGAAGAAGAACCAAAAAUCGAACUUUCCUCCUCAGAAUGUGGUGUGUGUCACAGAAAGUAGGUAAAAAAGGUACUGACAGAGUCUACUACUACUACCUAAUUUAGAGAGUUGAAGGUUGGGGUCAGGCUUGGCCAUGAGACAGAAGAUAGGCAGCUCCCUUGGGUAUGUCACUGCUUCUUCAGAUCAUCAGUAUCUGGAAGGAGCAAUAUGUAUCACCCUAAAUAAAACUCCAGCUAUCAGGCUU
rnacentral:lncRNA from 1 species